UGCCACUUGGUGUAAUGGUAACACAUCAGUUUUUGGUACUGAGUUUAGAGGUUCAACCCCUCUAGUGGCAA
rnacentral:tRNA from 1 species